rnacentral:lncRNA from 1 species
GGCGGCUCACUCAGGACCCAGCGGGGGCAGCGCGAUGAGGCGGGUGACCCUGUUCCUGAACGGCAGCCCCAAGAACGGAAAGUGUAAGAGACUUAAAUGAAUAUGACUGUCACACAAAAAAGGUGUGUCCUACUUCAACACUCAACAUUCAAGAAAUAUUUGUCAAAGACCUGCUGUAAGCCAGGUGGUUGCUGUAUAUGGAACUUUAUCUGAUUUGCUUUCUGUGGCCAGCAGUAAACUCGGCAUAAAAGCCACCAGUGUGUAUAAUGGGAAAGGUGGACUGAUUGAUGAUAUUGCUUUGAUCAGGGAUGAUGAUGUUUUGUUUGUUUGUGAAGGAGAGCCAUUUAUUGGCGCUGAAAGCAUGCUGCUCUUAUAGCUGUUGGUAUUGGUGGGACUACCUUAUCACCUAGUGUUGUUUUAGAUGCAGUCUGUGGGUUUGGGUAUUGCUGUCCUAGUAGCUCUGAUCCUCAGACAGAUUCUAAGCCUCCUGAGGGAUUGUUAGGAUUCCACACAGACUGGCUGACAUUAAAUGUUGGAGGGCGGUACUUUACAACUACACGGAGCACUUUAGUGAAUAAAGAACCUGACAGUAUGCUGGCCCACAUGUUUAAGGAC